rnacentral:rRNA from 1 species
UACGGAGGGUGCGAGCGUUGUCCGGAAUCACUGGGCGUAAAGGGCGCGUAGGCGGCUGGGGAAGUCGGCGGUGAAAGCCCGGAGCCUCAACUCCGGGUCGGCCGUCGAGACUCCUCGGCUCGAGCUCACUAGAGGCAGAUGGAAUUCCUGGUGUAGCGGUGAAAUGCGCAGAUAUCAGGAGGAACACCGGUGGCGAAGGCGGGUCUCUGGCCCGGUACUGACGCUGAGGUGCGAAAGCGGGGGGGAGCAAACAGG